rnacentral:lncRNA from 1 species
CCCCCUCCCCCUCCCGCCGCGGGGUGGCGCGCGCCUCGGCCGUUGGGCCCGCGCGCGGGGGGCGGGGCGGGGCUGCGUGGGGAGGGCGCCACCGAGCGUCCCGGCCCCGUUAGCCCCGUCGCCUCCCACCGGAGUUCGGAUCCGCGCCCGGCCCGGCUCUCCGCGCCGCGUCUCCUGGACGGAAAGAGCUCUCAAGACCCAAGCCAGGACUUGAGGGAUAUGUUCACGAGGCACCGGCAUUCCAGGCAGAGGGAUAGAAACAGGAAAGUGCAGGGCAGAUUCUACUGGAACUUCCCAGCCGGCAAACUUAUGU